rnacentral:rRNA from 1 species
UACGGAGGAUCCAAGCGUUAUCCGGAUUUAUUGGGUUUAAAGGGUGCGUAGGCGGCUUAUUAAGUCAGGGGUGAAAGACGGUGGCUCAACCAUCGCAGUGCCCUUGAUACUGAUGAGCUUGAAUACACUAGAGGUAGGCGGAAUGUGACAAGUAGCGGUGAAAUGCAUAGAUAUGUCACAGAACACCGAUUGCGAAGGCAGCUUACUAUGGUGUGAUUGACGCUGAGGCACGAAAGCGUGGGGAU